CAGGACUGUAAUUUAAUUUCAGGUGCGGCUGGUCCCACACCCUUGUUCAAAUGAUCCAAGCAAGAGCAGACCCCCACAUGUUGACUGAGGCCUCCUGGUCCUUCAGCUGCCGUGUCUACUGAUGCUUAUCUCGGUUUAGUGCCAUUUUUUCCCCCAGGUGUAAAGCUCCAACCCCUCCACCAUUUUCCAUGAAAAAUCCUUGGGUUACUAU
rnacentral:lncRNA from 1 species